rnacentral:rRNA from 1 species
CCUACGGGGGGCUGCAGUGGGGAAUAUUGGACAAUGGGCGAAAGCCUGAUCCAGCCAUGCCGCGUGUGUGAAGAAGGCCUUCGGGUUGUAAAGCACUUUCAGUGGGGAAGAAAGCCUUGGGGCUAAUACCCUCGAGGAAGGACAUCACCCACAGAAGAAGCACCGGCUAACUCCGUGCCAGCAGCCGCGGUAAUACGGAGGGUGCGAGCGUUAAUCGGAAUUACUGGGCGUAAAGCGCGCGUAGGCGGUCUGAUAAGCCGGUUGUGAAAGCCCCGGGCUCAACCUGGGAACGGCAUCCGGAACUGUCAGGCUAGAGUGCAGGAGAGGAAGGUAGAAUUCCCGGUGUAGCGGUGAAAUGCGUAGAGAUCGGGAGGAAUACCAGUGGCGAAGGCGGCCUUCUGGACUGACACUGACGCUGAGGUGCGAAAGCGUGGGUAGCAAACAGGAUUAGAUACUCCAGUAGUC